CCUACGGGAGGCAGCAGUGGGGAAUAUUGGACAAUGGGGGGAACCCUGAUCCAGCCAUGCCGAGUGUGUGAAGAAGGCCCUCGGGUUGUAAAGCACUUUCAGUGAGGAAGAACGCCUGGUGGUUAAUACCCAUCAGGAAAGACAUCACUCACAGAAGAAGCACCGGCUAACUCCGUGCCAGCAGCCGCGGUAAUACGGAGGGUGCGAGCGUUAAUCGGAAUUACUGGGCGUAAAGCGCGCGUAGGUGGCUUGAUAAGCCGGUUGUGAAAGCCCCGGGCUCAACCUGGGAACGGCAUCCGGAACUGUCAAGCUAGAGUGCAGGAGAGGAAGGUAGAAUUCCCGGUGUAGCGGUGAAAUGCGUAGAGAUCGGGAGGAAUACCAGUGGCGAAGGCGGCCUUCUGGACUGACACUGACACUGAGGUGCGAAAGCGUGGGUAGCAAACAGGAUUAGAUACCCCUGUAGUC
rnacentral:rRNA from 1 species